GCAGUGGUGGUUCAGUGGUGGAAUCCUCACCUUCCAUGCCAGAGACCUGGGUUCAAUUCCCAGCCAAUGCA
rnacentral:tRNA from 1 species